rnacentral:misc_RNA from 1 species
GUAGGUGAACCUGCGGUUGGAUCAUUAUCAAAUGAUAGCCAUUGACUUGUUGAUCUCCCCGCUUGGGGAGAACCUCGUCAGUGGUUCAACUACCACUGUGCACCAUAAACUUUUUUUGGGAUGGGGUGACGUUCGAAAGAAUGUUGUUUUCGUCCCAGCAACAAGAAUCAACCUUUUAAAUUUGACUUAACUAUUUUAUUAAAUUAAAAUUAAACAACUUUAGACAACGGAUCUCUUGGCUCUC